rnacentral:rRNA from 1 species
GACGAACGCUGGCGGCGUGCUUAACACAUGCAAGUCGAACGGAAAGGCCCUGCUUUUGUGGGGUGCUCGAGUGGCGAACGGGUGAGUAACACGUGAGUAACCUGCCCUUGACCUUGGGAUAACUUCAGGAAACUGGGGCUAAUACCGGAUAGGAGCUCCUGCUGCAUGGUGGGGGUUGGAAAGUUUCGGCGGUUGGGGAUGGACUCGCGGCUUAUCAGCUUGUUGGUGGGGUAGUGGCUUACCAAGGCUUUGACGGGUAGCCGGCCUGGGAGGGUGACCGGCCACAUUGGGACUGAGAUACGGACCAGACUCCUACGGGAGGCAGCAGUGGGGAAUAUUGCACAAUGGGCGGAAGCCUGAUGCAGCAACGCCGCGUGCGGGAUGACGGCCUUCGGGUUGUAAACCGCUUUCGCCUGUGACGAAGCGUGAGUGACGGUAAUGGGUAAAGAAGCACCGGCUAACUACGUG